GGAAGGAUCAUUAACGAAAAACACGCGUUUAACGGCGCGAUGUUGAACUGGCGGCUGUCUUCGGACGGCGCGCUAAAAGGGAAAAGCUGUCGCUCGCAGAGUCGCUCCGGCGGCGUCUCGAGCUGUCUUACUAAGGUGGCAUUGAUGAAUCCCCGUCGAUCUCCGUCAGCGAAACUUCGGUUUCAGGCGGAGGGAGGGAGGGUGGCAGAGCGAAACGAUGUCUCUCGCCGGACGGUCUCUGACCGGAUCCGGGAGAGUCGACAGCCUUCGUUCUCGGUUCUGUCGCUCGGUGUACGACGGUCGCAAACGAUCGCAUCUCGGUCGGUGUCUACUGUGCCCAUGCCCAACCAAACGGGCGUUCGGGUCGCUGUAACGGCAGGCGUAAAGACCGCGAAAGCGGCUACCACCGGCGGUGCGUAAUGCACGUACACCAACUGUUCUUACUGAAAGUGACUUCGGUCACAAAUAGCGAUCAGCUUAAGCGGGAGACCGCCGAAAGCGACGCGACAAACAAGUAUGUCGCUGGCGAGCGGUGCAUUUCUCCAGUUCCGCGCGAAAGACGUGACCGAUCGGAAGGCUACGGCAGCCGUUGAGGGAGUCGGCCGAAGGUAACCAGCGUCGCCUUGUGUGGCGCAGGUGUUAUAGCGGCCGUCGCUCGGAGUUGCCGUAAGUGUACCGAUCGGCGAGUAAGUUCUUCGCCUCGUGCGGAGUCUGCAAGCAACGCCCGCCGUCGGCGGUUGGCGAACGCUUGGUCGCGACUGGUUGUCCGUUGGGCACCUUGCGUGUCGAACGGCGGCUGUUGCGGUCGGCGUAGUCAGUCGGCCGCCGUGCGGCGGGUGGCAAUCGACGUCUAGUAGGUCGGUAUCCACCUGACCCGUCUUGAAACACGGACCAAGGAGUCUAACACGUGCGCGAGUCGCUCAGUCUUGAAUAGGCUCGAGAGGCGAACUGAAAGGAAAGUUGAUUGAGUUACGAUCCUCGUCGCUUCGGCGGCGGGGCGCAGUAACGGCCCUCCCGUUCCUCUUGUCGUGGGUGGGGAGGCGUUGGAGCGCACGCGUUGGUACCCGAAAGAUGGUGAACUAUUCCUGGGCAAGACGAAGCCAGAGGAAACUCUGGUGGAGGUCUGUAGCGAUUCUGACGUGCAAAUCGAUCGUCAGACCUGGGUAUAGGGGCGAAAGACUAAUCGAACCAUCUAGUAGCUGGUUCCCUC
rnacentral:misc_RNA from 1 species